rnacentral:misc_RNA from 1 species
UACGUACUAUUAUUAAUUCUUCAAAUGCGAUGCUUCAUUUAGCGGCUGUCUCUGUGACGAAGAACAUUACGAAUCGUUAAUACGAACGUUGAUAAUCGUAAUAGAUCGCAACCGUAUCGGGAUCGAAGAGAUCUCAUCUUAUCUUGGGAAACUUGGAAUAAAUCUUUCGGCAAAUACGGUAGCCGGAAGAUUACGAGAAUUUUUAGCAGAUACACGAGCGUAAUAAAGGGAAAAGUGCAAAUACAACAAAUUUUCGUGCAGAGGAGAUUCGCGACCACCGAUGAGAAAACUUGAAGACAACUGAGAAUUCCUGAAAAUUUACACAGUUUCGUCGAUCGCAGAGACGUAUAAUAAGUAUUUUGCAGGAACAGUGGCACUCUGGCCCAAAGGUACUCUUGCGAAAACACUUAAACCAUGGCUGUGUGAAAUAAAACCGAAUUACUACUGGAAAGCGUCCAAAUUGAAUAUGGAUUUUUA